GAGCUGGAUAAGAAGAUUAGUACUCCCUUUGACAAGGAUGGAAAAGACCCUAAGGCCUGACAACACAUAUACAGUUAGGGCGCUGACUGCCACCCACUUUGUGGCAUCUAACCACUGUUUUCA
ensembl:snRNA